GACGAACGCUGGCGGCGUGCUUAACACAUGCAAGUCGAACGGUAAGGCCCUUCGGGGUACACGAGUGGCGAACGGGUGAGUAACACGUGGGUGAUCUGCCCUGCACUUCGGGAUAAGCCUGGGAAACUGGGUCUAAUACCGGAUAGGACCACUGCCUGCAUGGGUGGUGGUGGAAAGCUUUUGCGGUGUGGGAUGGGCCCGCGGCCUAUCAGCUUGUUGGUGGGGUGAUGGCCUACCAAGGCGGCGACGGGUGGCCGGCCUGAGAGGGUGACCGGCCACACUGGGACUGAGAUACGGCCCAGACUCCUACGGGAGGCAGCAGUGGGGAAUAUUGCACAAUGGGCGCAAGCCUGAUGCAGCGACGCCGCGUGAGGGAUGACGGCCUUCGGGUUGUAAACCUCUUUCAGCACCGACGAAGCGCAAGUGACGGUAGGUGCAGAAGAAGGACCGGCCAACUACAUGCCAGCCGCCGCCGUAACAC
rnacentral:rRNA from 1 species